UCCGAACUUUUAUUAUUUCAAGUCAUAUUUCAGGCAAACAGUCAAAGCUAAGGUAGACAAAAUAUACAUAUAAAGAAGGCAAGUUCUUCAUUUGUCCUAAACUGUCACUUAAGCUGCUUCCUUUUUUCUCCUAUUCCAGGUGUCCAAUUAGUACUACAACAGCUGAAAGAAGUUUUCGUUUUGAUUUUUAUAAUUGGCUACAUAUAAAGCAUAUGUUACCAUUUUCUAUCAGAGGUUUUUUACUUUCUCGGUUCCACUUCAUCUUUCAUUUGAAACAAAAAUGCACCACAAAAUAAAAAAAAACCCAUAAAUUCUUGAAGAUGGGUUUCAAGAAUAUAUUCUUGAUCUUUUCUUAGGUUGAGGUGGAAUUUGAAUUUGAAGUUUAUGAGUUCUGAAUAUGAAGUUUUCGAGUUUUGAGUUUAUUAGAUAUAUUAUGCAUAGAUUUCUCAAUAAAUAUAGGGUUUGGACCAAUAUUACUAGGUUCUGAUCAAGUACUUCUCAUGCUAGAUCUGCCCUUGGUUAUAAGUUUAUACAUUUUUGUGGUGGUUCAAGUCAAGAAACUUGUGGAGCCAAAACAAUGUUCUAUAUGAGGAAGGUUCAAGUGGAUUUUGAUUUUGCAGCAAUCAAGAUAUUUGGAAAGCUAAUGCAGAUGCAAAUGGCUUGCUUUUCACAUUUUGUUCUUUGCACUUAUUUUUCUGUUUUGGUGUGUAUUUGAUUUUUUAUUGUGGUGUUUAAUUUGGCGGCGAAAGGCGGUGGUUUGUGGUGGUGAUAUUGGCGGGGACGGCUCAAUCUUCUUUCACGGUACCAAUAUUUAUCUAUAUCAUCUUUAUCUUGAUUUUAUCUAGUGAAAAAUACAUUGUAAAUGUUUAUUAUGCAGCAGCAUUACAUUUCUUUUUGUCGUUGUUCAAUGAUUUUCUCAUUCUAUAAAAAAUACAACCAAAAAGGAAAAAAAAUUUCUAUGUUUUGCUGUUUUGCACGAUUUUGGCUUUGUGAGUUCUGCAUUCUAGUAGUUCUUAUUUUAUAAUAACUUCCAUUAAUGCAAUCAAUUUUUUUUUUUCAAUUCUCUUUUUUGUUCUCUCAAUUGCUUUGACAUUGGGUUUCUCUUACGGCACUAACAAUCUAGUCUAACGUACUGAGAGUACUUGAGUUAGCGAAUAGUAACUAUACAGAUAUCGGUUGCAUAGACUUACGUCGCCCUUCCAAGGAAUCUUAGGGAGGCACUGCAUAAUAGUUGGUUUUAUAUAUAUAUAUAUAUAAAAUAGAUUUCUUAACAUAAAUACAUAAUUUGAGUGAAUAUACUCCUUAAUUUGUGGAUCUUGGAUGUACAAUAGAUGAACAUGUAGAUAAUGACCCAACAUAAGCUAGUAGCCAUGCAAAUUACUAGUUUUAGACUUGUUAGAAUAGGAUAACAAAGUAGCACUAACAUAGGCUAUUUUCAUAAAUGUACAUUUACAAACAUAAACACAAAUAGUGUACUGUGUUUGUACAUCUGUAUGGAAGGGGACAGGUCAGGGAAAUAGUACUAAGGCGUUGGGGACUUUGGGUCAAAAGUUAAAAAAGGGGAUGACCUCGUUGCUUCUAAUUCUAUCAUCACAGUCAUGCUUAAAUUCUGUGUUUUUCAAUAUUUUCUUAUAAAUUUAAGUUAUACAAUAUAGUGAUAAUAUAAAUAUCUACUUUUGAUAAUCGUGAUGUUCGGACUAAUCUACGCACAUUUCAAUUAGUUUCACAUAAUAGCUGCACCUUCCACGGACUCAAAUAUUAGAUAAUUUUAUUUACUAAGACUUUGAACAAAUAGAAAGAAAUUAUCUAAUCAUGUUUUUCCUUUAGCUGGACCCGAAAAUCUCAUGGUUCAUAUAGUCCACUUAUUAUUUUAAUUAUGAUAUUAUACCAAUUAAUGUUUGUUAUAAGAAGGGCAGCCCGGUGCACUAAAAAUCUUAUAUUUAUAAAUCUUAUGACAAACAUUAAAAAGAGCAGCCUAGUGCACUAAGAUCCCGUUAUGUGCGGGGUUCGGGGAAGGACUGGACUACAAGGAUCUAUUAUGCGCAGCCUUAUCUUGCAAAAAUACACGGUAAGGUUGCAUACAAUAGACCCUUGCGGUCUGGUCCUUCCCCAGAUCCCGCUACAUAGAGGGAGCUUAGUGCAUUGAGUUGCCUUUUUUAAUGUUUGUCAUAAGAUUUGUAAUCAUAAGAUUUAUUACAUAAAUUAGUACACAUAACUUAAACUUUUUUUUUAAAAUGUGUUUUGCAUUUCGGUUUUCCCGUGGACGUGAAUUUGGGAGUGAUUUGUUGCUAAUUUUCCGCAUCUUUUUCCUUUUGUUUAGGAAAUUUCCUUACAAUGCUUUAGGAAAUUUCCUUCAUGGUUCUUGACCUAAUGAGAAUAAUAGUUGCGAGGUUGGUUUAAGUGUGCCUCAAGUUGGAAAUAUCACUAGUUAAAAUUGUAUUGAUAGUUAGUGGGCAUUUGGACAUAAGAAUUUUAAAAUUUUGAAAAAAUUUAAGUGAAAAUGGUAGUUGAAAAUUAGAGUUGUGUUUGGACAUAAAUAUAUUUUUUUGUUGUUUUUAAAUUUUUGUGAGUGAUAUAAGUAAAAAUUUUGAAAAACAGUUUUUUAGAUUUUUUUUCAAAUUUUCAAAAAAUUCCAAAACCAUCUUCAAGUAAAAAUUAAAAAUUUUAUGGCCAAAUACUAAUUUUUAAGAAAAAAUAAAAAAAGAGAAAAAUUUCAUGAACAAACGGGCUCUUAAUGUACCAAGAGAUUGGAAAAAAGUUAUGUUUAAAAUAUAAAGGGAUUAUCUGCUAUACUUAAAAACUUAUUUUAUAUCAAAUUAAUGAAUGCAAGAUACAUAUAUUUAAUACAUCAUGUUAAGUGAUUUGAAUUGUUAUAUGAUCUAGAACACCAACGCAAAUAAGUAUUUGUCAUGUUCUAUCCACAGGGCCAAAGAUAGACACUCGGUCCCAUCGGGCUAGAAUCCGAGAUCCGAAUAUCCGUCCUCGAGAAUAUUGAGUCCAUGAUCCUGGAAUUAAUCCUGACUUUGAAUGAGCUUGAGGUAACGUUGUCGGUGUAACCCAUAGAAGAUCGAAAUAAUAUAAGGCCCAAAUAUCCAUAAUCGGCCGGAUCUUGCGGCGGGAUUCUCGGCACGUAUCAAUAAUAAAUCAGGAGAUUUUUAUCUAUUAUAGAAUUGUACCUAAA
rnacentral:lncRNA from 1 species